rnacentral:rRNA from 1 species
CCCUUAGGUGUUCUGGGCCGCACACGCGCUACACUGAAGGAGGCAGCGUGUACUCCUGGAUCGAAAGAUUUGGGUAACCCGCGAAUCUCCUUCGUGCUAGGGAUUGAGGUUUGCAAUUAUCCUUCAUGAACGAGGAAUUCCCAGUAAGUGCAAGUCAUAAGCUUGCGCUGACUACGUCCCUGCCCUUUGUACAUACCGCCCGUCGCUACUACCGAUUGAAUGAUUUAGUGAGGACUUCGGACUGGGACCGAUGCGGCUUUCGGGCUGCGUCGGUAUUCUGGAAAGAUGUCCAAACUGUAUCAUUUAGAGGAAGUAAAAGUCGUANCA